rnacentral:rRNA from 1 species
UACGUAGGGUGCGAGCGUUUAAUCGGAAUUACUGGGCGUAAAGCGUGCGCAGGCGGUUUUGUAAGCCAGAUGUGAAAUCCCCGGGCUUAACCUGGGAAUGGCAUUUGGGACUGCAAGGCUGGAGUGCGGCAGAGGAGACUGGAAUUCCUGGUGUAGCAGUGAAAUGCGUAGAUAUCAGGAGGAACACCGAUGGCGAAGGCAGGUCUCUGGGGCUGACACUGACGCUCAUGCACGAAAGCGUGGGGAGCAAACAGGG